UACGAAGGGUGCAAGCGUUAAUCGGAAUUACUGGGCGUAAAGCGCGCGUAGGUGGUUCAGCAAGUUGGAUGUGAAAGCCCUGGGCUCAACCUGGGAACUGCAUCCAAAACUACUGAGCUAGAGUACGGUAGAGGGUAGUGGAAUUUCCUGUGUAGCGGUGAAAUGCGUAGAUAUAGGAAGGAACACCAGUGGCGAAAGGGCGGGCCCCCCUCGGUACGGUACGUAGUAACUUACGUACGGACCGUCGUAGGGUAGGGUCGGAAACGGAACGGUCGGGGGUAGGGGACGAAACCAAACGGAGGUUAAGUUAAGUAACCCCUAACCCGUAAGGUUACCCGUUCCCGUAGGAACGUACGU
rnacentral:rRNA from 1 species